rnacentral:rRNA from 1 species
UACGGAGGGAGCUAGCGUUGUUCAGAAUUACUGGGCGUAAAGCGCACGUAGGCGGCUUUGUAAGUUAGAGGUGAAAGCCCGGGGCUCAACUCCGGAACUGCCUUUAAGACUGCAUCGCUUGAAUCCAGGAGAGGUGAGUGGAAUUCCGAGUGUAGAGGUGAAAUUCGUAGAUAUUCGGAAGAACACCAGUGGCGAAGGCGGCUCACUGGACUGGUAUUGACGCUGAGGUGCGAAAGCGUGGGGAGCGAACAGG